rnacentral:rRNA from 1 species
UACGUAGGGCGCAAGCGUUAUCCGGAAUUAUUGGGCGUAAAGAGCUCGUAGGCGGUUUGUCGCGUCUGCCGUGAAAGUCCGGGGCUCAACUCCGGAUCUGCGGUGGGUACGGGCAGACUAGAGUGAUGUAGGGGAGACUGGAAUUCCAGGUGUAGCGGUGAAAUGCGUAGAUAUCUGGAGGAACACCGGUGGCGAAGGCGGCAUCCUGGACCGGCAUUGACGCUGAGGAGCGAAAGCCAGGGGAGCAAACGGG